rnacentral:rRNA from 1 species
GGGUCAGUAGGCUGGUCGUGCCACCGGUACGUACUGGUCUCACUGAUUCCUCCUUCCUGAAGAACCGUAAUGCCAUUAAUUUGGUGUUGCGGGGAAACAGGACUGUUACUUUGAAAAAAUUAUAGUGUUUAAAGCAAGCUAACGCUUGAAUACACUAGCAUGGAAUAAUGAAAUAGGACGAUCGAUCCUAUUUUGUUUGUUUCUAGGAUUGACGUA